AAGCAUACAAGCUAGAUAAGGGCGUAUGGGGAAUGCCUAGGCUCUCAGAGGCGAAGAAGGACGUGAUAAGCUGCGAAAAGCUGCGGGGACUGGCACAUACAGGUUGAUCCGCAGGUAUCCGAAUGGGGCAACCCACUUAACUGAAGGUUAAGUACUCCGUAAGGAGGGCAAACCCGGGGAACUGAAACAUCUAAGUACCCGGAGGAAGAGAAAACAAUAGUGAUUGCGCUAGUAGCGGCGAGCGAACGUGCAUUAGCCCAAACCAUAUAGUUUACGGACUGUAUGGGGUUGUAGGACCACAAUAUUUGUUGUAAAUGGAAUUAGAAUCCUUUGGAAAGAGGAGCCAUAGACGGUGACAGCCCGGUAUAGGUAACAGAUACAAUGAUAGUGGUAUCCUGAGUAGUGCGGGGCACGAGAAACCCUGUAUGAAUCCGGCGGGACCAUCCGCCAAGGCUAAAUACUCCUGAGAGACCGAUAGUGAACCAGUACCGUGAGGGAAAGGUGAAAAGAACCCUGAACAAGGGAGUGAAAUAGAUCCUGAAACCAUACGCUUACAAGCGGUCGGAGCCCUUUCGGGGGUGACGGCGUGCCUUUUGCAUAAUGAGCCUACGAGUUACCGUUUCCAGCAAGGUUAAGUGAUUCAGUCAUGGAGCCGUAGCGAAAGCGAGUCUGAACAGGGCGCUUAAAGUUGGUAAUGGUAGACGCGAAACCGUGUGAUCUACCCUUGGGCAGGUUGAAGCUGUGGUAACACAUAGUGGAGGACCGAACCCGUUGACGUUGAAAAGUCUUGGGAUGACCUGAGGGUAGGGGUGAAAGGCCAAUCAAACUCGGAAAUAGCUCGUACUCCCCGAAAUGCAUUUAGGUGCAGCGAUAUGAUAGUUUUAUAGAGGUAGAGCUACUGAUUGGAUGCGGGGGCUUCACCGCCUACCAAUUCCUGACAAACUCCGAAUGCUAUAAAAUGUUUUAUAUCAGUGAGGGCAUGGGUGCUAAGGUCCGUGUCCGAGAGGGAAAGAACCCAGACCAUCAGCUAAGGUCCCCAAAUAUAUGUUAAGUUGAAGAAACGCGGUUGGACUGCCCAGACAGCUAGGAUGUUGGCUUGGAAGCAGCCAUUCAUUUAAAGAGUGCGUAACAGCUCACUAGUCGAGCGGUCCGGCAUGGAUAAUAAUCGGGCAUAAACAUAUUACCGAAGCUAUGGAUUUACAACAAGAGUUGUAAGUGGUAGGGGAGCAUUGUAACAACGAUGAAGGUGUACUGCGAGGUAUGCUGGAGUGGUUACAAAAGAAAAUGUAGGCAUAAGUAACGAUAAUGCGGGCGAGAAACCCGCACACCGAAAGACUAAGGUUUCCCCAGCUAUGCUAAUCAGCUGGGGGUUAGUCGGGACCUAAGGCGAACCCGAAGGGGGUAGUCGAUGGACAACAGAUUAAUAUUUCUGUACUUGCCCCACGUUAAAGCGGACGGAGGC
rnacentral:rRNA from 1 species